AGGAGGCAGCAGUGAGGAAUUUUGCACAAUGGGCGCAAGCCUGAUGCAGCAACGCCGCGUGUGUGAUGAAGGUCUUCGGAUCGUAAAGCACUUUCGACCGGGACGAACAAGCCUGGCCACACCAGGCCCUGACGGUACCGGGAGAAGAAGCACCGGCUAACUCUGUGCCAGCAGCCGCGGUAAUACAGAGGGUGCAAGCGUUGUUCGGAAUUAUUGGGCGUAAAGCGCGUGUAGGCGGCUUAGCAAGUCGGGCGUGAAAGCCCUCGGCUCAACCGAGGAAGUGCACCCGAAACUGCUGAGCUUGAGUGCCGGAGAGGAUGGCGGAAUUCCCCAAGUAGAGGUGAAAUUCGUAGAUAUGGGGAGGAACACCGGUGGCGAAGGCGGCCAUCUGGACGGUAACUGACGCUGAGACGCGAAAGCGUGGGGAGCAAACAGGAUUAGAUACCCGUGUAGUCCU
rnacentral:rRNA from 1 species